rnacentral:rRNA from 1 species
AGUAACGCGUGGAUAACCUGCCUUACACUGGGGGAUAACACUUAGAAAUAGGUGCUAAUACCGCAUAAGCGCACAGAGCCGCAUGGCUCAGUGUGAAAAACUUCGGUGGUGUAAGAUGGAUCCGCGUCUGAUUAGCUGGUUGGCGGGGUAAAGGCUCACCAAGGCGACGAUCAGUAGCCGGCCUGAGAGGGCGACCGGCCACAUUGGGACUGAGACACGGCCCAGACUCCUACGGGAGGCAGCAG